AUUGAACGCUGGCGGCAUGCCUUACACAUGCAAGUCGGACGAGUGGCGAACGGGUGAGUAACGCCUCGGAACGUACCGAGUAAUGGGGGAUAACUGUCCGAAAGGACAGCUAAUACCGCAUAUUAUUCGAGCGGCCGAUGUCUGAUUAGCUGGUUGGCGGGGUAAAGGCCCACCAAGGCGACGAUCAGUAGCGGGUCUGAGAGGAUGAUCAGCCACACUGGGACUGAGACACGGCCCAGACUCCUACGGGAGGCAGCAGUGGGUAAUUUUGCACAAUGGGCGCAAGCCUGAUGCAGCCAUGCCGCGUGUCUGAAGAAGGCCUUCGGGUUGUAAAGGACUUUUGUCAGGGAAGCGGUACCUGCAGAAUAAGCACCGGCUAACUCCGUGCCAGCAGCCGCGGUAAUAC
rnacentral:rRNA from 1 species